AUUGAACGCUGGCGGAAUGCUUUACACAUGCAAGUCGAACGGCAGCACGGACUUCGGUCUGGUGGCGAGUGGCGAACGGGUGAGUAAUACAUCGGAACGUGCCCAGUCGUGGGGGAUAACGUAGCGAAAGCUACGCUAAUACCGCAUACGAUCUAAGGAUGAAAGCGGGGGAUCGCAAGACCUCGCGCGAUUGGAGCGGCCGAUGGCAGAUUAGGUAGUUGGUGGGGUAAAGGCUCACCAAGCCGACGAUCUGUAGCUGGUCUGAGAGGACGACCAGCCACACUGGGACUGAGACACGGCCCAGACUCCUACGGGAGGCAGCAGUGGGGAAUUUUGGGACAAUGGGCGCAAGCCUGAUCCAGCCAUUCCGCGUGCAGGAUGAAGGCCCUCGGGUUGUAAACUGCUUUUGUACGGAACGAAAAGGCUCUGGUUAAUACCUGGGGCUCAUGACGGUACCGUAAGAAUAAGCACCGGCUAACUACGUGCCAGCAGCCGCGAU
rnacentral:rRNA from 1 species